rnacentral:rRNA from 1 species
CCUACGGGAGGCAGCAGUGAGGAAUAUUGGUCAAUGGACGAGAGUCUGAACCAGCCAAGUAGCGUGAAGGAUGACUGCCCUAUGGGUUGUAAACUUCUUUUAUAUGGGAAUAAAAUGUUCCACGUGUGGGAUUUUGUAUGUACCAUAUGAAUAAGGCUCGGCUAACUACGUGCCAGCAGCCGCGGUAAUACGGAGGAUCCGAGCGUUAUCCGGAUUUAUUGGGUUUAAAGGGAGCGUAGGUGGAUUGUUAAGUCAGUUGUGAAAGUUUGCGGCUCAACCGUAAAAUUGCAGUUGAAACUGGCAGUCUUGAGUACAGUAGAGGUGGGCGGAAUUCGUGGUGUAGCGGUGAAAUGCUUAGAUAUCACGAAGAACUCCGAUUGCGAAGGCAGUUCACUGGACUGCAACUGACACUGAGGCUCGAAAGUGUGGGUAUCAAACAGGAUUAGAUACCCGAGUAGUC